rnacentral:rRNA from 1 species
AACGAACGCUGGCGGCAGGCCUUACACAUGCAAGUCGAGCGCCCCGCAAGGGGAGCGGCGGACGGGUGAGUAACGCGUGGGAACGUGCCCUUUGCUACGGAAUAGCCCCGGGAAAAUGGGAGUAAUACCGGAUAAGCCCUACGGGGGAAAGAUUUAGCGGCAAAGGAUCGGCCCGCGUUGGAUUAGGUAGUUGGUGGGGUAAUGGGCUACCAAGCCGACGAUCCAUAGCUGGUUUGAGAGGAUGAUCAGCCACACUGGGACUGAGACACGGCCCAGACUCCUACGGGAGGCAGCAGUGGGGAAUCUUAGGCAAUGGGCGCAAGCCUGAUCUAGCCAUGCCGCGUGAGCGAUGAAGGCCUUAGGGUUGUAAAGCUCUUUCGUGGGUGAAGAUAAUGUCUGUACCCCAAGAAGAAGCCCCGGCUAACUCCGUGCCAGCCGCCGCGGUAAAAC